UCUACGUCCUGGCUUCACCGGCUUCCGGGAUGGCGCGCUGCCACGGGCGGGGAGCGGGUGCCGGUGCGGCCCUCCCCUGCGGGCGCUCCUGGCCGUGCCGAGUCCUCGGAGGAGCGAGGAGGCUGGGACCCAGGAGCGGCUGAGGGAAGCGCGGCAGCGCCCACCGGUCCUUCCUUCCAGCGUUUCGUGAGCGCCUGUUGGGGCCCAGGCGCGGUCCCGAAAACGCACAGCCGAAAGGGCGCUGUUCCUGCUCUAGGAGGAGGGGAGCCUUUUUCCUGGUUUUGCUGGGCAGUGAGUGAUCCAGAACAGGGGUGAAGGAUGGUUCCUUUGUCAUCUUUAGCCCUAGAACAAUUACACUUGUGAGUUUUGCAUCUAUGAGAAGGUCUCAUAUAGUGAAUCAUCCAGGAUUUAAUUUCUCUGGGAAGGAAAAAAGCUCACAGUCCCAUACAGAAAAUUCUUU